rnacentral:lncRNA from 1 species
GUGGCUGUUUGGAAGAAGUGAAAAAACAAAACAUUGCCCUCCUUCUUCACAAAAUUUUUAAUUGGUGCCUCUAAGAACCCUCAUUCCCUCCUCCCCACUCGUCUUCUCCACUUUUUAAUUUUUCUUCCAAAAUCUCUGUGCCCACUCAUCUUUUCUCUAAUUCCCUCUUCCCACUCGUCUACUCUAUGUUCACCACACCGAAUUGAAGGUAGUAAGGUUUUUGUCAUUCAGUUAAAAUUGGUGGUUCAGGUUUUCAUCAGAACUUUUUUCCUUGCAAUUUCUCUAUAUUCUCUAUGAAUACAAUCCUAAUAUUUUUUUUUUCUUGAAAAAUUCUUGCUAGUGUUAUUGAUUAAUUGAACGACUCUUGACAAUUCUGCUUUAAUUGGUUAAGUUCUGAAUAUCUAAGAAAAAUAAUUUAAAGUUUUUAUCAGUUGAUUAAUCUCUGGUUGUAGGGUUGUUGUGAUUAAUUCUCUAAAUCAUCCUUCUCCAUCUUUCUUCUUCUUCUUCCUCUUGUUCUUUGUUUGAAGACAAAAUCUCUGGGUUUUUUUUUUUUUGGUGAAAUUCAAUUUUAAGAAUUUUUGAAUGUAAACUGUUUGAGCUAAUGUUUAAAAGAAACAAAAGGGGCUUUUUAUUAUGCAGUAUAAUUGCAAAAUACGUAAAUAAUAUGGUUGUGUGGGUGGGUGUCCUUGCCGCGUGGUACUGUGCACAUCCCAGGACAUGGAGAAAAAUCUUUAAAUUUUGAAAUUUAAAGAUUUCAAAAUGACAUUGAUGCUUUCUUCUUCUACUAAACUCUUUUUUGGUAGAAAUCAGUACUAAACUUACCCAGUACCAAACCUAUAUUUCUGGAGAAAAUUUUCUUUUGCACUGUAGUGUAGUUUAAUUAGUGGCUUAGUGCCCUUUGUCUCAAAGUGAUCUGUUUCUGGAUUCUAUUUCUUUUGCACUAUUGUAGUUUAUUUACACUUAAUUAGCUUUGAAUAUAUGCAUGAUCAGUUUCUAACAAUAUGGAUGUAUGUUUGUUAGGGGAUUGGGUUACUAAUGUCCAAUGUCUAUUCCUAAUGAACUGGGUUGCUUUGAUCGUUUCUAAUGUCUGUUAAUUUCUACCUUCACCAUCAUGUUCCUAGCAGCAUCAAUGUCAUUUGAAGCCUGCACUGUAAGAUCUUGAUCACAAUGAGCUUGCCUCAACUUAUUGAAUUACGUUAUCUGAGAUCUUUAAUAUAUAUGUUGAGAUUAUGAAUAAGUCGGUAUGUUCCUUGUUUUCAGGUUGGUCACUUUGCUGGUUUUGGUGUUGGGGUAACAAUUGUCCUCACAUUACUUGUCACUGGGUACAUUUUACUGCAUUGUAGCACUUGAUUAUUUGUUCAUAAUUAUGGAAGAAACAUUGAAUAUUUGUUGAUUGUUUUGUAGGCUUGUUUCUGGAGGCUCGUUAAAUCUUGCAAGGUCAUUGGAUCCUGCAGUUGUUUCAAGGACAUAUGUACGUUGACCAUUCACAAAGAGAGGAUAUUGACCAUUCAAAGAUUGUUGUGUUGUGAAUAAUUGAGGAAGAGCUUUGUUUACAAGAGGCAUCGAAAAAUCAACUAUCGGUUUGGAACAUACUGAUAAACGUCCAGGUUAGUUCAAUCCAAACUUUUACUUUCUCCCCUUUUGAUUUUCCUUCAUGCUUAUAAUUAUCCUUAGCUUUGGUUAGGUCAAGGGUUUCAUUUUGAAUCUUAUAUUUCAUUACUUCGAGUGCAUUCUAUUCUUUGCACAUCAUCUGUUUUAUUUACUCUUGUGCGGAAUAAAGACUGCCAUGUGUAUUUUUAAUGUGGAUAAAUGGGUUUGCUGUUUACAGGUAUGGGAAAGAAUAGUUCUAGGUCUAGCCUAUCGGUUCGAUUCACUUUACAUAAUUCAAGCUAUGGUGCCCCGCCCGACCGUCCUCUUCUUAUUAUUAAUGGUAUAUACUUUGUUAAUGAUAUCCUUUUUUUCCUCUUGAAUUUUAACCAUAGGCAUUGUGUUAAUCAUUAAUUCUGACUCAUUAGACAUAGGUUUAAUGUUAAACGCAGGUUUCUGGCUGAUUUGGAAGAAAAUCAAAGAAUAGGUGUAGAGUUCUGUCUAGACAGGGUUCUGUUGCGGUGACACCACAAAUGACCUGGAUUACACAGAUUCCAAUUAUUUGAAUGAUAAAGAUGUGUUAUAGUGAAGAUUUAAUUAGUAAUGUGUACUGGUUCUUACCAUCCUUGAUCUUAUUCUUAAUGAAUGAAUGAUCUGGAUGUUGUAUUCUUUAUUUAUCAUAGCUAGUGACAAGUGUAAUUCUUUCUUUAUAGUUUGUUAUUAUCAGAAGUUGUGUAAUGAAUGAUAAGAUAUGUCUUCUGCACGUCAAUAUUUACCAAUUGCUAUUUUUUUUUCUAAAACAUUUCAGAUUUCCCACGGACAUAGACCGUGGCUAAUUUAAAUU